UACGUCUGAGGUUUUCAUUUC
ensembl:piRNA 21ur-3583 ncRNA